rnacentral:rRNA from 1 species
UACGGAGGGGGCUAGCGUUGUUCGGAAUUACUGGGCGUAAAGCGCACGUAGGCGGCUUUGUAAGUCAGAGGUGAAAUCCCGGGGCUCAACUCCGGAACUGCCUUUGAGACUGCAUCGCUUGAAUCCAGGAGAGGUGAGUGGAAUUCCGAGUGUAGAGGUGAAAUGCGUAGAUAUCGGAAGGAACAUCAGUGGCGAAAGCGACUUCCUGGACCAAUACUGACGCUCAUGUGCGAAAGCGUGGGGAGCAAACAGG